ACGUUGAAUAUAGAGCGGUCAAGUGUGUUAAGCGCUUCACAGUACUAUAUAGAGCGGUUAUCCAUGGAGACAGUUUCAUAUUAAAAAGAAUACAGAGCGCCUAGGAGAAUUAGCUGUUACAUAUGUUUUUACCCUAACAAUACAAAAAAGAGCUAAUAACAUAUAGAGCAGUGGUACAAAACCGUGUACUAUAUACCAACUAAAAAAAAAUAAAAAAAAUAAUAAUAACUUUACCAAAUUUGCUCGCAAUCUCCUAAAUUGAUCAAAACUCAAACUUUGUCUCUCGCGCAAUACCCAUCCAAUUAACCUAAUUAUUUAGUCUUUGUCUCUUUUCUACUCCGUAUUACUCGCAAACUGCUAUCACCAUUAAUUCACCACCGCUGCUUGAUCUCACGCCGACCCUAAACUGUGCACCACCACCACCGCCGUCAAGGUUGUACGGCCACCGCACGCGACGCUCCACCGCUUUGAAUUUCGAGCUCCUCCCACGUAUUCUCAAAAACUGAUCGACGAGCUAAGGGAGAUAUGGAUCUCAUAUGUUACCGGAUAUCACCAUUCAAAUAACGAUGAAGAUGAUGAUGAUAUGAUCUAUAUAUGUGAGUUGGGCUAGCUCAACGGAUGAUUUUAGUUUACAAACUAUUUUUGUAUUUUUUUUUGACAUUAGAAUGGUCUUUGAUUUUAUUUUGGUUGUACCUUAUAUGAAUCAUUUUGUCAAUGAAUAAUAGAAUUUUAUAAUUGAAUGACAGAAAUUGGGGAUGAA